UGAGGAAUAUUGGUCAAUGGGCGAGAGCCUGAACCAGCCAAGUAGCGUGCAGGAUGACGGCCCUAUGGGUCGUAAACUGCUUUUGCGCGGGGAUAAAGUGCGCCACGUGUGGCUCAUUGCAUGUACCUUAUGAAUAAGGACCGGCUAAUUCCGUGCCAGCAGCCGCGGUAAUACGGAAGGUCCGGGCGUUAUCCGGAUUUAUUGGGUUUAAAGGGAGCGUAGGCCGUCUUAUAAGCGUGUUGUGAAAUGUCGUGGCUCAACCUGGGCAUUGCAGCGCGAACUGUGAGACUUGAGUGCGCAGGAAGUAGGCGGAAUUCGUCGUGUAGCGGUGAAAUGCUUAGAUAUCACGAAGAACUCCGAUUGCGAAGGCAGCUCACUGGAGCGCAACUGACGCUGAAGCUC
rnacentral:rRNA from 1 species